rnacentral:SRP_RNA from 1 species
ACCUGGUGGUUUACACCUGUAAUCCCAGCUACUAAAGAGGCUGAAGCUGGUGAAGCACUUGAGCUCUGGAUUUCUGAGUUGUAGUGUGCUAAAGCUUAUCAACUGUCUGCACUAAGUCUAGCGCUAUCGUGUUGAGCUCCUGGGAUUAGAGGACUACCAGGCUGGGUAAGGGAGGGGAAAUCCUCCCAAGUUGGAAAUGGAGCAGGUCAGAGCCUUCCAUGCUAAUCAGUAAUCGGAUCAGGCCAGCGAGUAGCAACUGUACUUCCUGCCUGAGUGAAAUAGGGAGACUCAGUCUCA